UAGGGAAUCUUCCGCAAUGGACGAAAGUCUGACGGAGCAACGCCGCGUGAGUGAUGAAGGCUUUCGGGUCGUAAAACUCUGUUGUUAGGGAAGAACAAGUGCUAGUUGAAUAAGCUGGCACCUUGACGGUACCUAACCAGAAAGCCACGGCUAACUACGUGCCAGCAGCCGCGGUAAUACGUAGGUGGCAAGCGUUAUCCGGAAUUAUUGGGCGUAAAGCGCGCGCAGGUGGUUUCUUAAGUCUGAUGUGAAAGCCCACGGCUCAACCGUGGAGGGUCAUUGGAAACUGGGAGACUUGAGUGCAGAAGAGGAAAGUGGAAUUCCAUGUGUAGCGGUGAAAUGCGUUAGAGAUAUGGAGGAACACCAGUGGCGAAGGCGACUUUCUGGUCUGUAACUGACACUGA
rnacentral:rRNA from 1 species